rfam:Fukomys damarensis contig110758, whole genome shotgun sequence.
ACCUUUUGGUUCCUGAGCCUGAUGGUCGGGGUUCAUGCCACUGUGUGAGAUGUGCCCCUCAAACGUCGUCACAGCGCCAGCACGUUACCUGUUGGUGU